rnacentral:siRNA from 1 species
AACAAUCCGCUCUCUUCUCCGUU